rnacentral:rRNA from 1 species
UACGGAGGGGGCUAGCGUUGUUCGGAAUCACUGGGCGUAAAGCGCACGUAGGCGGCGUGUUUAGUCAGAGGUGAAAGGCCCGGGCUCAACCCGGGAACUGCCUUUGAUACUGGCACGCUCGAGUCCGAGAGGGGGUGGUGGAACUCCCAGUGUAGAGGUGAAAUUCGUAGAUAUUGGGAAGAACACCGGUGGCGAAGGCGACCACCUGGCUCGGGACUGACGCUGAGGUGCGAAAGCGUGGGGAGCAAACAGG